CAAGCUGGCCAGAACUGUAGUUGC
rnacentral:piRNA from 1 species